rnacentral:rRNA from 1 species
AAAACUCACCCGGCCCGGACGUGAAAAGGAUUGACAGAUCGAAAGCUCUUUCUUGAUCUUGCGAAUGGUGGUGCAUGGCCGUUCUUAGUUCGUGGAACAUUUUGUCUGGUCGAUUCUGAUAACGGACGAGACCCGAACGAUGCAUGUCUGAUAAGCGGUCGCUUGCCGUUUCGCUUGAAUGCGCGGCAGCCGAGGCGAACCGAAAACUUUGUAAACUUGACGGACCGGCGGCGUUGAUGUGUAAGCCGCACGAGAUCGAGCGAUAA